rnacentral:misc_RNA from 1 species
UACGUUUACGAUUUGUUUAUUUGUUUGUGUAUUUGUUGUUUCCCAUUAAAUCUGUGAUACUGACUAAAACCUGAGUUCCAUAUGGUACAAUAGAAGUAAACUUCAAAAAUACUGCCUACAAUUGAUGUGAUCGACUUAAAAACUUGUAAAUGGGAAUGGGACCUACAAGGCUAUAAACCCUAUCGUUUCAAAAAUCGGUGAUUUCACUCCGUUUUACAUAGCCAUUGCAAUUUGCUCGGUGAUCCUCGGCUUUCUUAUUAUACUGAACGUCGUGUGCUCCUGCUCCAGGUACUCGGACUACUGGCUGGACAGACAUACAGGCAAUCGCUGGCUUGUGUCAAUCUGGUCAGCUACACCACACAAACAGCCACCUCUGGACCUCACAGAGCUUGAGAGCAACUUCCAACAAGUUCAUUACGUCCAUCCUUACAGUGAGGAUAGUGAAGAUUACUCCAAAGGCCCUCAACACAACCUGCCUCCGUCGGCAUCUCAGCAGCCGCUAACUUCUUCACAGGAAUAUUUAGAGCUGCAUAAACGAGAAAGUGACAUUUAAUCAUGGCCUUUUUGAUGAUAUAUCCUGCAGUAGCAGUUCUCUCUCUAUUUGUACUCUUGGUAAUAAUAUUAAUUUUAAGAUUCGGAGCACGCUGGUGCAACCUCCGCCAUUCCACACUGGCUGAUCAGGAGUAUUGGAAUGAAGACGAUGCUUAUGAACAAAAGGUUUCAUAUGCAUAGUAUUAAUAACAUGUAACUUUUUCUUUUCUGUAUAACUUUGCUUUUUUUAUACUAUGAUUGUAGUGUUAUUGCACUAAUAUUGUUAAGAUUUUACUUUCUUAGCUUUAAAUGAUGUAGGUAACAGUAUUGGCAUAAGUUAAUUAUUUUCCAUGAAAAUUCCAUAUUUAUAUUUUGCGUUUUUUUAUGUUAUUUUACACUGGCAAAGUGUUAUGUAUUGAAAAGUAACUGAUUCAUGAACACUGAAUCCGUCCAUAUGAGCCUGAUUUUAUUCUUAUGUAGUGUUUAGGCAAUAUGUAUUUCUUUAGUUUUAUGAUAAUUUCUCUGACAGUAAUUUUUUUUCUGAAUCAACAAUUUUCUUUAAUCAAAUAUGUAUUUCAGUUAGACUGGAAGCCAACCCCAACAUAGUUGGGAAAAAGGCUUAGAGGAUGAAUCAAAUAUAUAUUCUCAUCUUGAACUUCCUACUAAGUAUCAACUUUAGAGUAAUUUGAAUUUCAUGGAUUAGAUUAUUUAAGACAUGCACAAAAAAUACAUCAUUUUGUGUGUUAAAAAUGAUUGCAUUUAGUUUUAGAUAUGUAUUACCGAAAAUAACUGACUUGAUAUCAUUGCUCUCAAGAAUGCAUGUCAUAUGCUACUAUUUAUAUUAUUUAAGUUUAUGAAGUACUAACUUUCGCUCGCGGUUUCACGCGCGUCCCGUAGCCGGAUAGUGACAAAAACUAUCCUAAAACCUUCUGGGUCUAAGUUACCUCCCCUCUAAUUUUCAGCCAAAUCGGUCAAGCCGUUUUCAUGUUAUGUCGUGACAACGGAAAGCGGGUUUCAUUUUUUGUAUAUAUAUAGAUGAAUACUACAAGACUUAUCUGCUUUUACAAAGUUAUGUAUUAUUCUAAAUAUUUUCUUUCAUAUAUAUUUUAUAGUAUCUAAUCCAUAAGCUAGAAUAAGGUUAUAACUUAGUGCCUUACCCACUCGAAUGUCGCAUUUUAAUUUCAUACAAAAAGCAUUAUCCGUCCAAUAAAUUAGAGAUAAAUA